rnacentral:lncRNA from 13 species
AAAAUUGAUGCAAUAGAGGAUCCCUGCCAAAGGCAAUUUAGGCGGGUCAUAGUAGGCGGGACAUAGACAGAUCACAGAGCUUUUUAGAAAUGUGUCCAUACCUCUUCCGGGCUCAUUACACUCCGCUUUGCGGAUCAUAGACAAGUUGGAUGUGUGAGAAAUAGUUAGGUCUCCACACACAUCCAAUCUAGUUUCUGCCGUAUUGCUUUCACCUAUUCAGCCUGAUCAUUUCGGUGAAAGGGAGUGAGCGAGGAGGCAAAGGAGGAAGCAUCGCUUUGGAAUGAAAUACGGUGCUUAUAGGAUAGUGGUGUGAGUAAUGGCAUGGCCCAGAGUCCCAUGCCUCCUGCUGAUCCUGCUGCUCCUACUACACACCUGCUUACCUCAACCAGGCCCUCCAUCUCCUCCCUCCGCUCCCCAGUGUCACAUUCCCUAUACGGAGGGACGACAGGCAGAUAUCCACUGUUUCUGGGAUCCAGGACAGAACCCACAAAUCCCCACCUCCUACAGCCUGCACUGGAAUUCUACAGAGGGUUAACUGUCAUAACCAUGUUGUGGAACAAACAACUGACUGAAGAUGGGACGGCUGGGCAUUCUUGUGGUUGAGUCCGUUUCUGCAGUAACAUGGACUCUUAACAGCAUGAAACUUCAUUGUUCUUU